AACGAACGCUGGCGGCAGGCCUAACACAUGCAAGUCGAACGCUGUAGCAAUACAGAGUGGCAGACGGGUGAGUAACGCGUGGGAACAUGCCCUUCGGUUCGGAAUAACUCAGGGAAACUUGAGCUAAUACCGGAUACGCCCUUAGGGGGAAAGAUUUAUUGCCGAAGGAUUGGCCCGCGUCCGAGUAGCUGGUUGGUGAGGUAAUGGCUCACCAAGGCGACGAUCGGUAGCUGGUCUGAGAGGAUGAUCAGCCACACUGGGACUGAGACACGGCCCAGACUCCUACGGGAGGCAGCAGUGGGGAAUAUUGGACAAUGGGCGCAAGCCUGAUCCAGCCAUGCCGCGUGAGUGAUGAAGGCCCUAGGGUUGUAAAGCUCUUUCGCCAGGGACGAUAAUGACGGUACCUGGAUAAGAAGCCCCGGCUAACUUCGUGCCAGCCGCCGCUGUAACAC
rnacentral:rRNA from 1 species